UGAAUUUGAUUUAACACUGAUCUGAGAUUUAAAUCAAAUUCCUUAGUGCAAAUCAUUGAUGUAAUUCCCACAACUAACAUCCAACAGGACCAACAUAUCAGUUUGAUCACUAACAAUAACUUACAAGAAACCACUUAGGAAGCCCAGUUCUUGCCUUGACCCAUUUGAUCUUAUUUUUAUUAUUUUGUUUUUCUCAGAGCAAUUAUGAGCAGAAAAUUAGAUAGAGGAAGAAGAAUUUUGUAUGCAAAGAAAGAGGAAAAGGGAAGAAGAAGAAGAGAUGCGGCAGAAAAUGAAGAAAAGAGAGGAAGGUGAGAGAAAGGCUAAGAUGGGAGCAUACACAGGUGAGAGAAGACACAGGGUAAUUGGAGAUAAGAAAGAACUUACCGACAAGAAUUUCCGGUGGUCGGAGGAAACGGGAAAAGUAUGAUGAUUUUUAUGUUUGAAUUUUAUUUUUAUUUUUGAUUUUAAUUAUUUUUAAUCUAUCAUGUGACAUGACAUCUACACAUUGUUAUUUUCUGACGUGGCAGCCAACAUGGAGGAGAUUGUAUUAAGACAACCUCCUGUCAUAAGCGUUUAUUAUAUACGGUUUGAAGGA